CCUACGGGGUGCAGCAGUGAGGAAUAUUGGUCAAUGGACGAGAGUCUGAACCAGCCAAGUAGCGUGAAGGAUGACUGCCCUAUGGGUUGUAAACUUCUUUUAUAUGGGAAUAAAACGUUCCACGUGUGGGAUUUUGUAUGUACCAUAUGAAUAAGGAUCGGCUAACUCCGUGCCAGCAGCCGCGGUAAUACGGAGGAUCCGAGCGUUAUCCGGAUUUAUUGGGUUUAAAGGGAGCGUAGGGGGAUUGUUAAGUCAGUUGUGAAAGUUUGCGGCUCAACCGUAAAAUUGCAGUUGAAACUGGCAGUCUUGAGUACAGUAGAGGUGGGCGGAAUUCGUGGUGUAGCGGUGAAAUGCUUAGAUAUCACGAAGAACUCCGAUUGCGAAGGCAGUUCACUGGACUGCAACUGACACUGAGGCUCGAAAGUGUGGGUAUCAAACAGGAUUAGAUACCCCUGUAGUC
rnacentral:rRNA from 1 species